GCACAGGAAAUUUAAUAGCCUGUUUGUGGUUGUAUAGACAGAUGCAUCAUGGGAAUUGUUGAACCCCUUUCGGAGCAGGUUUAUUUGAGAAAUUGCAGAGGAUAAACAACUCCUUAGCCGUGGGAGUUAGAACGUUUGUUUUGAUUUCAGACAUCAUUGUAAAAUGCGUACACGACCAGUUUCGGUAUAUUUAUUUAUAUAUUUUCAUUCACUUAAAUGUACAUAAUAACAAAGGCAAACGAAUGGCAAAAUUCUGCGAAUGUGAGCAACAAUGCGUUGGCGGGAGAAACAGCUGGUGAUGGUAGUGGCGACGAAGCGGAUGAAUUCGCAAUAUCAAUGUCAAGGUGAAUUGGGCCGACAGGCACUAAGGCAGCAUAAGCAACAAGUUCUAUAAAUAAUGUUGAAUACGAUUGUAAAGUGGUUGUAAAAUAGCUAUAAAACCAGCGAAAAAACUUUUAAAAGCUGGAGGAACGGACCCGGAUUUUUAUCCGGUCAAGAACUGUCAACUCAGCAGCAUGACUCGAAAUAACGCAGGAAUGUUUUCUGCCGCUACAACAACAACCAUAUCGAAAGAAUCAGAAAACAUGGAAUGGCUGAAAUUACGUAUCCAUUGCUUUAAUAGGCGCUAUUAAGGUGAAAAACUUUAACAGAGCAACAACAAAAUAAAAAUGUAUACUCCCAACAUUACAAACAACAACAGCAAACGCUUGAAUAAGUGAAAGAAAAUGUGUGAACAAAGAGGUGAACGAACUUUUCCGAAUAUCAUGAAGAAAAUUUUUGACAGCCAAAAAUUCUCUCAACGCAACAAAUGAAUUCAUAAUAUAAAUAGCAGCAAUGCAUAUGAGUGAUAAUGUGUGAUUAUUUCUCAAAUCUUUUUGUUUACAAAUGAUGCGCUGUUAUUGAAAAUAAAUUGGGCCAGUGCUCUUUAUUGCUUCAUUCAAAUUUUUUAAAGAUAAAGUAUGUAGAGUUUGUCUUCAAGAAAAUUCGAAAAUUAUACAUUAUUGACUAACUUUG